rnacentral:rRNA from 1 species
GCCAAACAGCUAGCUUUAACAACUAAGUAAAUAAUACAACAUUAAAAACCUUAAUACAACUACAAUUAGAUAAAUUAAAACAUUUUACCGCCAAAGUAUGUGAGACAAAAAAGGCACCACUUUAAAGCUAUAGAAACAGUACCGCAAGGGAAUGCUGAAAGAGAAAUGAAACAAAUCAUUAAAGCACAACAAAGCAGAGACUAGUCCUCGUACCUUUUGCAUCAUGAUUUAGCCAGCCCCCCUGAGCAAAGUGCGCUUUAGUUCAAAGCCCCGAAACUAAGUGAGCUACCCCGAGACAGCCUAUUAACUAGGGCCAACCCGUCUCUGUGGCAAAAGAGUGGGAAGAUCUCCAGGUAGAGGUGACAGACCUACCGAACUUAGUUAUAGCUGGUUGCCUAAGAAAUGAAUAAAAGUUCAGCCUCACACUCCUUAACUCAAUAAACAACUUAAAAUAAACGAGCCAAAGAAAUAUGUGAGAGUUAUUCACAAGGGGUACAGCCCUUGUGAAACAGAAUACAAUCUCAUCAGGAGGUUAAAGAUUAUAUUAAACAAGACAUACUGCUCCAGUGGGCCUAAAAGCAGCCACCUGAACAGAAAGCGUUAAAGCUCCGGCAGAAUAAAAUCUAUUAUCUAAAUAUGUAAUCUAAAACCCCUAACCCUAUUAGGCCACUCCAUGCCAACAUGGAAAAGAUACUGCUAAAAUGAGUAAUAAGAAGGAACCCCCUUCUCCAAGCCUACGUGUAUGCUAGAUCGGACCUCCCACCAGCAAUUACCGAACCCAACCAAAGAGGGAAAUGUGACCCUAACAAAUACCAAGAAAUACUCACACGACCUGAUCGUUAACCCCACACUGGAAGGCCACUGAAGGAAAGACUAAAAGAAAAGGAAGGAACUCGGCAAACACAAGCCUCGCCUGUUUACCAAAAACAUCGCCUCCUGCAAACUUCAACGUAUAGGAGGUCUUGCCUGCCCAGUGACAAGUUAAACGGCCGCGGUAUUUUGACCGUGCGAAGGUAGCGCAAUCACUUGUCUUUUAAAUGAAGACCUGUAUGAAUGGUGAAACGAGGGCUUAACUGUCUCCCUUUUCAAGUCAAUGAAAUUGAUCUACCCGUGCAGAAGCGGGUAUAAAAAUACAAGACGAGAAGACCCUUUGGAGCUUAAGAUGUAAGAUCAACUAUGUCAAGGACUAAUUACUAGCCAAACUAAAUAGUAACUGAUCCCAAUCUUCGGUUGGGGCGACCACGGGAGAAAAUAAAGCUCCCACGCGGACUGGGGAAACCCCCUAAAAUUAAGAGAGACAUCUCUAAAUAACAGAAAUUCUGACCACAAUGAUCCGGCUACCUUGCCGACCAACGAACCAAGUUACCCUAGGGAUAACAGCGCAAUCCCCUUUCAGAGUCCAUAUCGACAAGGGGGUUUACGACCUCGAUGUUGGAUCAGGACAUCCUAAUGGUGCAGCCGCUAUUAAGGGUUCGUUUGUUCAACGAUUAAAGUCCUACGUGAUCUGAGUUCAGACCGGAGUAAUCCAGGUCAGUUUCUAUCUGUAAUGCCACUUUUCCUAGUACGAAAGGACCGGAAAAAGGGGGCCCAUGUUACCAAAUACGCCCCACCCUAACUUAAUGCAACAAACUAAAUUAAACAAAAGGAGGGCAUAAACCCACAUCAAGAUAAGAUU